AGAACAUUGCUCGACAUGGACACCGGUGUGAUUGAAGGUGGAUUAAAUGUCACUCUCACUAUUCUGCUACUUAUGCAUGGCAAGGAAGUUGGCAGUAUCAUUGGAAAGAAAGGAGAAUCUGUUAAGAAGAUGUGCGAGCAGAGUGGUGCACAGAUCAACAUCUCAGAGGAGAAUUAUCCUGAGAGAAUUAUCACUUUGGCUGGACCCACUAAUGCCAUCUUCAAAGCCUUUGCUAUGAUCAUUGACAAACUGGAAGAGGACGUUAGCCGCUCUAUGACAAACAACACAGCUGCCAGCAGACUUCCCGUUACCCUGAGGCUCGUGGUUCCUGCAAGUCAGUGUGGCUCUCUCGUUGGAAAGGGUGGUUGCAAGAUCAAGGAAAAAUGAGAGAGUACAGCGGCUCAGGUGCAGGUGGCAGGGGACAUGCUCCCCAACUCAACUGAGCGCGCCAUCACUAUUGCUGGCAUUCCUCAGUCGAUCAUUGAGUGUGUUAAACAGGUCAUGUUGGAGACUCCCAGUUCUCCCCAAAGGGCAUGACCAUCCCGUACCAGCCCAAGUCGUCCAGUUCUCCGGUCAUCUUUGCAGGUGGUCAGGCUUAUACCAUUCAAGGACAGUAUGCCAUUCCACAGCCAGAUUUGACCAAGCUGCACCAGUUGGCAAUGCAACAGUCCCAUUUUCCCAUGACGCAUGGCAACACCGGAUUCAGUGCAGGUCUGGAUGCAUCUUCUCAGACUACUUCUCAUGAACUCACCAUUCCAAAUGAUUUGAUUGGCUGCAUAAUCGGGCGUCAAAGCGCCGAAAUCAAUGAGAUCCGUCAGAUGUCUGGGGCGCAGAUUGGAAGGAUGCCAGGCUAG